GAUGAACGCUGGCGGCGUGCCUAAUACAUGCAAGUCGAGCGAACCACUUCGGUGGUGAGCGGCGAACGGGUGAGUAACACGUAGGUGAUCUGCCCAUCAGACGGGGACAACGAUUGGAAACGAUCGCUAAUACCGGAUAGGACGAAAGUUUAAAGGUGCUUCUGGGACCGCUGAGGGAUGAGCCUGCGGCGCAUUAGCUAGUGGGUAGGGUAAAGGCCUACCAAGGCGAAGAUGCGUAGCCGACCUGAGAGGGUGAACGGCCACACUGGGACUGAGACACGGCCCAGACUCCUACGGGAGGCAGCAGUAGGGAAUCUUCGGCAAUGGGCGAAAGCCUGACCGAGCAACGCCGCGUGAAUGAUGAAGGCCUUCGGGUUGUAAAAUUCUGUUAUAAGGGAAGAACGACUUUAGUAGGAAAUGGCUAGAGUGUGACGGUACCUUAUGAGAAAGCCACGGCUAACUACGUGCCAGCCGCCGCGGUAACAC
rnacentral:rRNA from 1 species